GAUGAAGAACGCAGUGAAAUGCGAUAAGUAAUGUGAAUUGCAGAAUUCAGUGAAUCAUCGAAUCUUUGAACGCACAUUGCGCCCGCCAGUAUUCUGGCGGGCAUGCCUGUUCGAGCGUCAUUACAACCCUCAGGCCCCCGGGCCUGGCGUUGGGGAUCGGCGGAAGCCCCCUGCGGGCACAACGCCGUCCCCCAAAUACAGUGGCGGUCCCGCCGCAGCUUCCAUUGCGUAGUAGCUAACACCUCGCAACUGGAGAGCGGCGCGGCCACGCCGUAAAACACCCAACUUCUGAAUGUUGACCUCGAAUCAGGUAGGAAUACCCGCUGAACUUAAGCAUAUCAAUAAGCGGAGG
rnacentral:misc_RNA from 1 species